rnacentral:misc_RNA from 1 species
GUUUUGCCUGGCAUUCUGCAGAAGCAUUGCUGUAUCUUACCAGACAGGAAUACAGGCCGUCUCCAAACUAUAGUCCUAUUGGACUGGUGCACCAAAUAUGGAUUUGGGGUGUGCGUAAUUCAGUCCAUAGCACCCACCAAACCACAGAAGCUGCCCCGAGCUGAUGUCCCGCUAUCGGUGCGGCUGCAGGACACUGUCCCAUUGCUGCAUGGAGCCUCUCGCUGUCUGAGCCUCACCUGAAGCCGGCCCACACCAUUUUCUUACUCUAUGCAUUGGAGCGAAAAUGUUUAAUUGACUACGAUGGGUGAUUCCUAAAGUUAUAUUUGACUCAGAAAAAAAUGCAUUAGUAAAACUCCCUGUUUGAAUGUUUCUAGUAUUCACAGCCCGGGUCACUGUCUUUCUAUAACGAUUGGUAUCUGAAAUAAGAACAUGGGCUGCAACUUACAGCCUUGCUCUUUCUACUAUAUAAACUUCCCUAAUCAAAUAUUUUUCAUUAAAAAAAUGUGUUUUUGGAAAUAAACAGUUACAACCUGG